CUUCACCGAGCCGAGCCACAGCGGCCGGCCCUCGGCGCGGUUCUGGCCGUACGUCGCCAGGAUCGACUGCGCCUC
rfam:Streptomyces ambofaciens ATCC 23877, complete genome.